AUUGAACGCUGGCGGCAGGCCUAACACAUGCAAGUCGAGCGGAUGACGGGAGCUUGCUCCUUGAUUCAGCGGCGGACGGGUGAGUAAUGCCUAGGAAUCUGCCUGGUAGUGGGGGACAACGUUUCGAAAGGAACGCUAAUACCGCAUACGUCCUACGGGAGAAAGAAGGGGACCUUCGGGCCUUGCGCUAUCAGAUGAGCCUAGGUCGGAUUAGCUAGUAGGUGAGGUAAUGGCUCACCUAGGCGACGAUCCGUAACUGGUCUGAGAGGAUGAUCAGUCACACUGGAACUGAGACACGGUCCAGACUCCUACGGGAGGCAGCAGUGGGGAAUAUUGGACAAUGGGCGAAAGCCUGAUCCAGCCAUGCCGCGUGUGUGAAGAAGGUCUUCGGAUUGUAAAGCACUUUAAGUUGGGAGGAAGGGCAGUAAGCUAAUACCUUGCUGUUCUGACGUUACCGACAGAAUAAGCACCGGCUAACCCUGUGCCAGCCGCCGCUGUAACAC
rnacentral:rRNA from 1 species